rnacentral:rRNA from 1 species
UACGGAGGGAGCUAGCGUUGUUCGGAAUUACUGGGCGUAAAGCGCACGUAGGCGGCUUUCUAAGUCGGGGGUGAAAUCCUGGAGCUCAACUCCAGAACUGCCUUCGAUACUGGAGAGCUUGAGUCCGGGAGAGGUGAGUGGAACUGCGAGUGUAGAGGUGAAAUUCGUAGAUAUUCGCAAGAACACCAGUGGCGAAAGGCGGCUCACUGGCCCGGUACUGACGCUGAGGUGCGAAAGCGUGGGGAGCAAACAGG